UGGAGGUUGAAUGUUUGAAGGGGUAACGGGACGAUAAAAAGUUUGGGAACCACUGGUUUAGAGUAAAUGCUACUUCGUUUACCUAAAUGGCCAGGCCCCUGGGGCUGCAGACAAAAAAAUUAUUCAACAGCCAUUCAUCAGAAAAGCACACACACGACUAGAAAGAAGGUCAAUUAAAAAUUACCUGGAAGAGAAAAUUGCUCCAAGCAGCAUCCAUUUUGCACCAAAGCGAUGAAGAGUAUAAAAUCAGCUAAGUAAUCCUGAUGGCGAUUCGACAGUAAACCGUUGGCAUAAUAUUUAAUCGCACUGUUAAUGAUUGUGGCGAGAAGAUCUAUGUUGACAGUAUUCAAAUGCAGGAAGAAAAGUAUGCUAUUGAUCAUCCGAAAGGGACAUGCAACUAUCAAAAAUGUACUUUGUCAAAAUAUUUAUCUAACAGGAGUAUUCAAGCUAUUCAAAUUCACACAGGCGUUUCGACUAGGCUGACUGCCUGAGUAGAAUUGCCAGCUCCAAUAGUGGCCUAUUUAUCUUUCUUUGGUUUCUAACUGUAAUUUUAUCAAAGCAUAAGGAACGCAUAUCUCUUGGCAUUGAUGACUUUGAAACCAAAUAUCUGUGCGCACAAAAUCAAUGUUAUUUAUAUAGCCGUAGUCAUAUAGUAAUAGCUCGAUCUUAAAAUUAAAAGUAAUGCAUUACGCACAAUGACAACUACUAUCAGUGUUACAAUAAACGCAUUUGAAAGAGUAGCAGUUCAUUAUUUUAAUUUAUGAAUCUAUUCUUCCGAUUUCCCCCAACAGGCCAAUCGCUUGUUUGUCGAAGCCUCGCUGUUGGAUUCAAGCCCUGACCCUAGCUAAGAGCGAUCGCGCCGGGACGCAGCCUAUCGCUCCACCUCGGCUGUUCAAUUGCGAGGAUGUCAUCUUUCUUUUUUUAUUGCUCGCUCUCCCUCCUCCCUCCAUGUAUCUUUCUUCCUUUUCUUUUUAAAUCCUCUUUCUUCUCCCCCUCCUCUCCUUUUCUUGCGCCGCUAUGUCCCAGUUGCUCUUAAAGGGAUAUCAUUUAUAUUCGUUGGGCGCCCUCUUUAAUUUCCCUCUCCCUCAUUGGAGCAUAUCCUUUCUGCCCCCUCCUACUCGGGUUUUCGGCCGACAGAUAUUGCACUACAGUAUUUUUCAGACCAUCAUAAAUAGAUCUCGGCCGUUGCUAAAGAGAGAAAUAUUAAUGGAGUCUUUUUGUAGGCCCUAACUCCGCCAUGUUCGUUGGACAAAGCCUAUGAGGAAAAUGAAUGGCGUAUUUGUAGGGUUUUGGAUAAACGCCGAAAAUAAGGUCUGUGGGAAACACAGAUAUAGGAUAUCAUAGUUGUUCUAUUAGAUCAACUUCAUUAGCUAACGUCACUUUUAGUUCACGUUGGACGUUUUUUGGUAAUAAUAAAAACCACAUACAUCUCAUAAAGUUAAUGUAAACUGACUGCUAUUAUCUCAUAGAACACAACAUAUAAGAUCUCCUAAACCUGUGUUAAAGAAGCAUUAUGUCGAAUUGUUGCAUUAUAAUAUAUCUGCAGUAUAGUAGAAUGAUAGUGUUUAACAUACAUAUAUAUAUAUAUAUUGCUUCGGGCUCUUACAAAACACUCCAUACAGAACCAAUCAGUCGAUAUAAUGUACAAGUAUCAUCAGAAAUCACGCGAUGUGAGUCACACAGUGGGGCGGUGCCUGUCCAAAUCGUUGGUCAGAAGAUUCAAAUCAACGUUUUAUGUCAUAAUUUCCGAGUAGGCAAACAGCGUCAACCACAACUGUUAUUACACCCCGUUUACGUUGGUGGCGGUAAUGACCAUUUUUAUUGUGCUGUAACUAAAACUAGAAGAUCUGACGUCCUUUCCCUUCGCCAAAGUCAGGGCAGUUCAUCCCAUGUGUUCCUGUGGCCCUACGAUGGGAGUGGAGGAGACAAGAUGCCCAUGACUGUCACAGCCAGUACAACUGUAUUCUGACUGUUAACAUUAGAGGCAGCACCCAGUUGGACGUGGAAGUUUGGGACCCGUCAGAUAAAGGAGACCCUCACGGACAAGAGGACGUUGUUCCUGACCUGGCAGGAGAGAUGCGUGGAAACUCUGGCAGAACAAGAAGUUUUUCAGAUGGACAAACCAUUGCUGUGCGGCUCUCCAGAAGAAUCGAGCGGACAUCGGAGAGAAUUAAACGGCAGACAAUGGGAGGAACUGGAGUACGUGGCUGUUCUCCUGCAAGAUCAUCCAGUCUGGUCCCAGGUGUCCAACAGCUUGGGGGACAGUCUGCUCCGGGCAAAGCAGCGUGCAGUGAUGCUGCAUAACAUGUGCCUUAGGAGAGGCACACAAUACAGGCAGACCUACACAAUGGACUUUUUGUAUUGCCAGCAAGAGCUGGGGCUUUUUAAAGAUGCAGAACAUAUCAAAUGCAGAACAUGGUAAAGCUCUAGCAAGCAUUUUCAAGGUUGGCUGUUGAUGGCUUAGUCAGCACAGAUGUAAAAGAGGACAGUGGAUCGGAGGACAGUGAUUCAGAGGAUGAAAGUGGUUGAGGAAUGAAUGUCUAUGCGUGAGUUUUAUAGGGCAAACUAUACACUGAGUAUUUCUCACAUUAGGAACACACUUCCUAAUAUUGAGUUGCACCCCCCCCCCAGCCCCCCUUUUCCCCUCAGAACAGCCUCAAAUCGUCGGGUAAUGGACCUGUACCCCCGCACAUUG